rnacentral:tRNA from 4 species
GCGCGAGAGGGCUUAGUGGUAAGCCGCCCGGUUCCCAACCAGGUAGUGCGGGUUCGAUCCCCGCAUCGCGCUCCA